ensembl:misc_RNA
UCGAGAAACAGUAGCCAACUACAAAAUGUUUCUGUCCCAGGGAAAGAUUUUUCAAUUCUUUUCUUUUUUGUCAUCUAAACUUUGUUUUAAGCUAAACAUAUUCAGAUUUCAUCACUUCACUUUGCCUCUAAGAACUCUGGAAAAGUGGAGACCUCACACAAAGAUACUCAUCUUAGAAGUUCACAAAC